rnacentral:lncRNA from 1 species
AGGAGCGUCGGAGGAAGCGGUUGGUGGUCGAGAUGUUCUCGUCCUUUUACUCGACAAUCAUCGGGGUAAGCUUCUUCGGUAAAAUCCUUCUUUCUUUUUCUCUCUUCUUUUUUUUUUUAACGACUUAUCUUUUGUCUGUAGUUGAUGCAUGACAUGUCCGAUCUAGAGGUCGGCUACACAAAGUUCGCAGACAUUCGGAGUGCAUGGAAGAAUAAGGUGGCGGCCACUGAUGCUGAAAAGACGAUCGUACUUGAACAACUCAAGUCGACGAUGGAGCGGAAAGCUAAACUUCAUGAGAAGAUUUUCCGACUUAUCGACGACUUGGC